GUGGGGAAUAUUGCACAAUGGGCGAAAGCCUGAUGCAGCAACGCCGCGUGAAGGAAGAAGGCCCUUGGGUCGUAAACUUCUGUUCUAAGGGAAGAUAAUGACGGUACCUUAGGAGCAAGUCCCGGCUAACUACGUGCCAGCAGCCGCGGUAAUACGUAGGGGGCGAGCGUUAUCCGGAAUUAUUGGGCGUAAAGAGUACGUAGGUGGUUAUCUAAGCGAGGGGUUUAAGGCAAUAGCUCAACUAUUGUUUGCCCCGCGAACUGGGUGACUUGAGUGCUGGAGAGGAAAGCGGAAUUCCUAGUGUAGCGGUGAAAUGCGUAGAUAUUAGGAGGAACAUCAGUGGCGAAGGCGGCUUACUGGACUGUAACUGACGCUGAGGCGCGAAAGUGUGGGGAGCAAACAGGAUUAGAUACCCUGGUAGUCC
rnacentral:rRNA from 1 species